CCCAGCACAAGGUGCGCCUGUGUAAUGAUCAUGCUGCUUAAUCAGCUUCUUGAUAUGCCACAACUGUCUGGUGGAUCAAUUAUCUUGUUAAAUAGGAAAUAUUCACUAACAGGAUGUAAACAAAUUUGUGCUCAAACUUUUAGAGAAAUAAGCAUUUUGUGCAUGUGAAACAUUAAUGGGAUCUUUUAUUUCAGCUCAUGAAACAUGGGUACAACACUUUACAUGUUGCGUUUUAUAAUUUUGUUUAGGUUAUAUGACUUGGGUAUCAUGCAAUGACUCAAUCAUGGGACUGCGAAGUGCACACGUAAGCGACUCAACUUUCGGGAAGCUGCACAGGAUAUCUGCCCUUCAGCACAGAUCAUAGUGGAUAGACGUGUGUCAGCGAGUUCUGAAUGACUGCUGGUUCCUGUCUGCGGUGGCGUCCCUCUCCAUGCAUCGCCCGCUGAGAGUUACAAUGGCAGCUUUUACUUCCAGGGCCCCCUUGAGCAAUGAAAUGAGUUUGGAAUCCUGUCCAGUCAUGCCUACUCUGUAACCAGGAUUGAACAAGUUGGGCGACUCUGUCUCCCCCCACUCCUCCACUCCCUCAGGACGGCGGUGUCAGACUUCUGUCGGAACUUGGACGCAAUGGAGGUGUUUCACCUGAGUGAGGAGACCCUGAGCGAGCCAGGUGCCACACAGAGACCAUGGAACUGCACAGAGUUCUGACGGAAGUCUGACACCACCAUCCUGAGGGGGAGAGAAGGAGGGGGAGA